rnacentral:tRNA from 1 species
GCGUUGGUGGUGUAAUGGCUGAUCAGCAUAGUUGCCUUCCAAGCAGUUGAUCCGAGUUCGAUUCUCGGCCAACGCA